rnacentral:rRNA from 1 species
UACAGAGGGUGCAAGCGUUAAUCGGAAUUACUGGGCGUAAAGCGUGCGUAGCCGGUUAUGUAAGUCGGGUGUGAAAGCCCCGGGCUCAACCUGGGAAUGCCAUUCGAGACUGCAUAGCUAGGGUGCGGAAGAGGGAAGCGGAAUUUCCGGUGUAGCGGUGAAAUGCGUAGAUAUGCGGAGGAACACCGAUGGCGAAGGCAAUCCCCUGGGCCUGCACUGACGCUCAUGCACGAAAGCGUGGGGAGCAAACAGG